rnacentral:antisense_RNA from 1 species
GUAGGAGUGAGCCUGCUCGCGAUGAGGCCGGCACAGUCAGCAAAUUUGCUGACUGACACACCGCAAUCGCGAGCAGGCUCACUCCUAC